CCUUCUGCAACGGAAGUUGCCAAACGGUCAGCUUUCUGAUCUCUGACUCGAACUCGCCCGCUAAAGCCACUCAGCACGGCCAUGGAACCGGACUCUACUGAACCCCAAACGGAAACCGCCGCCAUCUCAGCCAACGCCACGACGGACCCACUGACUAGCCAGUUCGGUUCCCUCAACGACGUGACCCACGAGCUUGACACACUCCAGGACCUAGCCACCCGCGGCUCCUGGCUCACCAUCCUUGAAAAGGUCACUCAAGCUCUCUCCCUCUCCGUCCUUUCCAAGCCCCAUGACCGCCUCACCUACAUCAGCUUCAAGAUCCUUGCUCUCUCAAAAUUAUGCCGUUUCGCCGAGGCAUCCCAAGAGCUCGAUUCCCUCCACGACUUUGGUAGCUCCCAGUAUCAGUACCAAUCAUAUCCGGAGAUUUACCCGAGCCGGACCGGCUCCAUGGUUCCCUUCACUCUUCGGUGGCUCUACGCCUUGAUCCCGAUAAAGCUCGGCAAUCGGCAAGAAGGAUUGGAUCGCCUUUACACUUUGCUUGAUUUCGUGCGAGAGAAGAUUAAAGAGAAAGAAUCGAAAAAUUUAGACGUUUCCGUCAAUGUGUGGGAGAGAAGGGAAGUUUUCGUUAUGCAUUGCUUAACGGGGUUUCAUUUGGGUCAAAAGGAGUUUGGAGUAUGCUUAAAUUUGAUUAAAGAGUUGAUUAGCCGAGAUUUAUCAGACCCAGUUAUGAUUUCCAAACUUGGGUAUAUACAGAUGCAGAUUGGUGAUUUAGAGGGAGCCAAGAGCUCCUUCGGUCGAGUUGAGAAGAUGUUAAGCGAAGGGAAUGGUAAUGGGUUGUUGAGUGAGGUGGAGUUUAGGAACCUUGUGAAUAGGAACAAGGCAUUGGUGUAUUUGGUAGGGAAGGAUUAUGUGUCUGCUGUGAGGGAGUAUGAUGAAUGUAUUGAGAGAGAUUAUGCAGACGUUAUUGCCAUCAACAACAAGGCUCUUUGCUUGAUGUAUCUGAGGGAUUUAUCGGAUUCGAUAAAGGUACUGGAGAAUGCUUUGGAGAGAGUCCCUACGAUGGCUUUGAAUGAGACCCUGGUUAUCAAUUUGUGUAGUAUGUAUGAAUUGGCUUAUGUUAAUCACGUAGAUAUUAAGAAGACCUUGAGCAAUUGGAUUGCUCGGGUUGCUCCGGAUGAUUUUGAUUCCUCUUGCACCAGGCUAUGAGGAACCUUUGAUAUAUAAUUGAGAUUGCAAAAGAUUAGAGAGAGAAAUUGAAAAUUGCAGAAGAAUUUUAAGAGAAAGUAAGCAGAAGAAUUUUGAGAGAAAGUAAGCAGAAGAACAGAGAUGAGGAAGGAAGAAAUAAGAACAGAAAGAGGAAAAAUCAGUGCUGACUCACUAUUAUAUUGUUUGUAUUUCUUGCAAGAAUCAUGGUGAAAAAGAUAAUUGUGGUUCUCCAGAUGAUGCAAACUACGCUGUUCGGCUAAAAGUGUGGUGCCUACUGAGGAGGAUCGAUGCGGGAAUGCCUUGGGAUUCCCUUUUAACCUUGAUAAUGUAAUUAUGUCCGUUCAAAUUGUAGCAACAAGGUCCAAAGGUAUGAGGCUGGGCUCUGGAUACACAAACAUGCACAUCUCUCCAUUAUAACUCAGUUGUCUUUCUCUUGACAUUUGAUAAAAGGAAUACUUGAUUUAAUUUUUGAAAAAAAAUUCAACAA